GGCUUAAUAGUUUAAUAAAAAAUAUUUAAUUGCAAGUUAAGUGAUAUAAAGAGUAUUUAAGCUU
rnacentral:tRNA from 1 species